ACAGUGUUUCAGGUCUUUUAAACUGUUAUUCAGAAGAAGACGGGCAAGAGUUUGAGAACAAAACAGAAUUUCUCAUGUAUCCUGAUACUCUUAGGCCACAUCUUCUGAAAUCAGCAACAAGAUGUUGGCUUGUGCUUUAAAAAACUUAAAUAAGUAGGAAAUUGUUGGUGUCCAGCCCAACCUGCUAUUAUACCACGUCAUUUGGCUUGCCUCAGCUACAUGGCAAAGUAAUCUAGCUCAUCUUGUCAGCAUACCUUCAUCAGUAGCAUGUUUUGCAUUAAUUUCAGCUUCUUCAUAGUCUGUCUGUGACGGCUGUAAUGCAACCUGUUGCUGGAGUUCUCACUAGCUUCUCUUAAUCAUGCAGUCUGCCUCAUGCAUCCAAGGCAUUAGUGCCACUUAAGCAGGAUCCCACAGCAAAAGGAUCCUGUUCUGUGAAGCACUUUUAGCAUCCAAAUGUAUUUUGGCCACUGUGUGCUGACUUUGGGGACACUCUUGCCUUAGAGAACUCCGGCUGCACAACUGCUACUGCUAUACUUGCUGCACAG